UUCUCUCUCUCUCGCCUGGACUCCGCCGCAGCCGCCAGCUUCUCCGCCGCCGAUCGGCGACGGCCCUCUCCUCCCCCGCGUCUCUCUCUCUUUCCUUCCUUCUCUCCUCACAGUCACGCCGCCGUCGCUCUUCCGUUCCAGUUUCGCCGCCGCCGCCACUGUGCAUGCACAGGCGGCGGCUUCACUGUCCUCUUCCCGGGAGUUCACCGUCUGCAUGCGGUCUCUCUCCCUCGGUCGGUCUGUCUCUCGGUUCGCCGCGCCGCCGCCGCCGCCGCGGAUCCGCCGCCGCGCUGGUCCGCCUCAGCCGUCGUUGCCGCAGGUCCUGCGGAUCCGCCGUCGCCGCGAACUCCCGGAAGAUUCAAGGAAUGAUAAAAAGGGCAGAUGUGGUUUUAGAGCGUGGACUGCCAUCGGUGUCGACGGAGUGCCGAGCUCGUUACCGGGAGUUCUUUGACAGAUUCAUAUAUCAUUUCAAGCUAAGUUCAUAUUAUCCUUUGAGAAUUUGCUAUUCUUAUGUUCUUGGAAUGCUAUGGAUACUAUGUCCUUGCUAAGUUGUUCAUAUGAAAUACCUAUAAAUGCUAAAUUGGUGUUCUAUAAUAAUGGGUACUAAGUUCAUAUGUUGGCAAAGACAGGCUUGGCAAUAUGUUGCAAUAUGUGAAGAAAAAGUGAGGUGUUAGAUGGUACUUACUUUUGUGGUGUGAAGAAGAGAAUAAGUGGUUGCUUUUAGACUUUGUCCUCUAUGAGGUGGACGUCCGGUGGAGGGAUUCUUGCUGCCUUUGGAGAUGAGAUAAUUUUGGUAUGAGGUGGGGCAAGUGAAAGGGAUGGAUCAUGGAUGAUAUUUAGGAUGAGGAAACAAGUUGCAGACAAAAAUCAUAUCUUACAAAAUUCUCCUGAUACUUGAAGAUAUGGUUGCAAGAUACACAUUAAAUGCUGCAUUAAAUGCAGCCGUAAAAGAAACGAUCUGGAAAGAACCCGUUUCAAGCUCGCAGCUGACCGCGUAGUAGUUCCCGAUCUUCUUUAGAACGAAAGAUGUAUUAAAUUUUGUUGAAAUUUUAUGGGUGUAUCGGACAUUAUUAUUAUUUUGAUUUUUGGGCUCUUAUUUAUUUAUUUAAAUUAAUAUU